rnacentral:lncRNA from 1 species
ACCAAUCCACAUCAACAUCAUAAAUGCAAUGCAACAUAUUCGUGAAUUCUAAUGCAAACAACCUAAUUCAUCACAUGGCAUUCAUGAUGCAUGAACAUGCUCAACUGUAUAAUUCAUUUGCUUUAAAAACAUAAAGGUUUAUUCUACUCACCUCUGGCCGAAGCUCUACUGACUCAGAAGCAGCUGAACUCACUGCUGGGGUCCUCGGUUC